AGCUUUGCGCAGUGGCAAUAUCGUAGCCGAUGAGGUUAAUCUGAAGCGCGAUUAUUGCUAAUUGAAAACUUUUCCUUUGGGAGCGCAGAGAGCCAUGCCUUGAAAUGCCUCUUCCUGUCAAAUACAGGUGUAU
rnacentral:snRNA from 1 species